AUUGAACGCUGGCGGCAGGCCUAACACAUGCAAGUCGAACGGUAACAGGAAGAAGCUUGCUUCUUUGCUGACGAGUGGCGGACGGGUGAGUAAUGUCUGGGAAACUGCCUGAUGGAGGGGGAUAACUACUGGAAACGGUAGCUAAUACCGCAUAACGUCGCAAGACCAAAGAGGGGGACCUUCGGGCCUCUUGCCAUCGGAUGUGCCCAGAUGGGAUUAGCUUGUUGGUGGGGUAACGGCUCACCAAGGCGACGAUCCCUAGCUGGUCUGAGAGGAUGACCAGCUACACUGGAACUGAGACACGGUCCAGACUCCUACGGGAGGCAGCAGUGGGGAAUAUUGCACAAUGGGCGCAAGCCUGAUGCAGCCAUGCCGCGUGUAUGAAGAAGGCCUUCGGGUUGUAAAGUACUUUCAGCGGGGAGGAAGGGAGUAAAGUUAAUACCUUUGCUCAUUGACGUUACCCGCAGAAGAAGCACCGGCUAACUCCGUG
rnacentral:rRNA from 1 species